CACCAUCAGAGGCAAGAAGACAUGGUCCUUCACUUCCCUCAUCUAGUGUCGCAAAUGGAGUUAGUCUAGUGGAUUUUCCUUCCGGUCCAUCGGCGUUCAUGCAAGAAGACUCGUCCACAACCUCGAGCAAUACUGGUGAAGUAAAGCCUUUUAGCGUCCAAACUCAACCCAAAAAAGAUGAAGUGUAGACGGAGAAGGCAGGUCUGGAUCCGAUUCCAGCUCUUAUCAACAACAAGGAGCCUCCGCCUAGCAGCGAAGUCCUGUAGGAGGUAGGUCUGGAUCCGAUUCUAGUUCCUGUCAAAAACGAGGAGCUUGAGCCUCUGUCUAGUGACGAUGUCCUAUCGGAGGUGGGUCUAGAUCCGAUUCCAGCUCCCAUCAACAAUGAGGAGCCUGAGCCUCUGCCUAGUGGACAUGUCUUGCCAGAGGCAGGUCCUGAUCCAAUUCCAGCUCUCGUCAACUACAAGGAGCCUCCGGCUGUGCCAAGGGCCUGAACUACAGUAGACGAGGACUCUUUAAAAAGGAAAACCAAAUAAAGCCCAAAGGAGGAAUACACGUUGUAGCUUUUCACCUUGAAAUUGCG